GUUGUUGCGGUUAAAAAGCUCGUAGUCGAAUCUGUGUCCCGCGCCGCCGGUUCAUCGUUCGCGGUGUCAACUGGCGUGUCGCGGGACGUCCUGCCGGUGGGCUUUGCUCGCAAGGGCGGCCCAACUCAAUCCCGCCGCGGUGCUCUUCAUUGAGUGUCGAGGUGGGCCGGCACGUUUACUUUGAACAAAUUAGAGUGCUUAAAGCAGGCUAAAAUUUCGCCUGAAUACUGUGUGCAUGGAAUAAUGGAAUAGGACCUCGGUUCUAUUUUGUUGGUUUUCGGAACCCCGAGGUAAUGAUUAAUAGGAACGGAUGGGGGCAUUCGUAUUGCGACGUUAGAGGUGAAAUUCUUGGAUCGUCGCAAGACGGACAGAAGCGAAAGCAUUUGCCAAAAACGUUUUCAUUGAUCAAGAACGAAAGUUAGAGGUUCGAAGGCGAUCAGAUACCGCCCUAGUUCUAACCAUAAACGAUGCCAGCUAGCGAUCCGCCGACGUUCCUCCGAUGACUCGGCGGGCAGCUUCCGGGAAACCAAAGCUUUUGGGUUCCGGGGGAAGUAUGGUUGCAAAGCUGAAACUUAAAGGAAUUGACGGAAGGGCACCACCAGGAGUGGAGCCUGCGGCUUAAUUUGACUCAACACGGGAAACCUCACCAGGCCCGGACACCGGAAGGAUUGACAGAUUGAGAGCUCUUUCUUGAUUCGGUGGGUGGUGGUGCAUGGCCGUUCUUAGUUGGUGGAGCGAUUUGUCUGGUUAAUUCCGAUAACGAACGAGACUCUAGCCUGCUAAAUAGGCGUAUUUCGACAUCCCAAAGGCCUGCCAGUUUCGGGUUCGCCCGUUUCUGUGUUUGGUUUUUACUGUCGGCGUACAAACAAUUCUUCUUAGAGGGACAGGCGGCUUCUAGCCGCACGAGAUUGAGCAAUAACAGGUCUGUGAUGCCCUUAGAUGUUCUGGGCCGCACGCGCGCUACACUGAAGGAAUCAGCGUGUCCUCCCUGACCGAACGGUCCGGGUAACCCGCUGAACCUCCUUCGUGCUAGGGAUUGGGGCUUGCAAUUGUUCCCCAUAAACGAGGAAUUCCCAGUAAGCGCGAGUCAUAAGCUCGCGUUGAUUACGUCCCUGCCCUUUGUACACACCGCCCGUCGCUACUACCGAUUGAAUGAUUUAGUGAGGUCUUCGGACCGGUACGCGGUGGCGUUUCGACGUCGCCGAUGUUGCUGGGAAGAUGACCAAACUUGAUCAUUUAGAGGAAGUAAAAGUCGUAACAAGGUUUCC
rnacentral:rRNA from 1 species